GUUAAAGGCCUCCCUUUUUUUGCUCCCUUUUCUCCCUUGAUCCUUCAUGAGCCCGCUUAGGUCUCUUCCAAACGAAUUUUCCUUUCUUUCCUAUUCUAAAGCCUUUUAAAAUAAACUCCUCUUCCUGUUAUGGAACUUGCCUCGGUCUCUUUUUCUGCUUUAUGCCCCUCAGUCGAAUUCUUUCUUCUGAGCAGGCAAAGGCUGAAGUUGCUCCAGACACCUAUGGAUUUGCCGUCGGUAAAUCAGGGUAACUCGGAUCUCUUCCAUUGCUAACACAGACAGUUGUGAAGCUAUACGCAGAAGGCCUCUAGAUGAUGAGGCAGCAUAAACUGGAAGGAACCUGGGUUUCUCAACCACCACAGAGAGAAAAGCCGCCAUUCGGGACCUUACAAUUGGUCUCCUGCCUCUAAAAUUACGCUCCACAAGAGAAACUCAUCCACUCCUCCGUCUUCUCAUCCCCAAGGCCUAAGACAGCUCUGACCUUAUCUCCAAAUACAGUCACCUUCCAAGAUACUGAGGAUUAAGACAUCAACAUAUGGAUUUAAGGGGACACAAUUCAACCCCUUGCAAAGAGCUACAGAUGUCUUUAUUCUACUACUCAUAAAAUGUCUUAGGAAUACAAUAGCC